rnacentral:misc_RNA from 1 species
UUUCCGUAGGUGAACCUGCGGAAGGAUCAUUAUUGAGUAACUGAGGGUGGCUUUAGUAUGUAUGUACUAAACUGCCCUUACACUCUUCACCCUUUGUUAUUUUUUCUCAGUUGCUUUGGCAGAGCCUUGUGUUCUGCCAGAGGAUACAUAUCAAACCAUUUUGUUAACCAAUAAUUGGGGUACUUGUAGUCUGAUUUAGUUACUUUAAUAGUAUACAAAACUUUCAACAACGGAUCUCUUGGUUCUG